rnacentral:rRNA from 1 species
CAGCCGCCGCGGUAAUACGAAGGGUGCAAGCGUUAAUCGGAAUUACUGGGCGUAAAGCGUGCGUAGGCGGUUUGUUAAGUCUGCUGUGAAAUCCCCGGGCUCAACCUGGGAAUGGCAGUGGAUACUGGCAAGCUAGAGUGUGUCAGAGGAUGGUGGAAUUCCCGGUGUAGCGGUGAAAUGCGUAGAGAUCGGGAGGAACAUCAGUGGCGAAGGCGGCCAUCUGGGACAACACUGACGCUGAGGCACGAAAGCGUGGGGAGCAAACAGGAUUAGAUACCCCAGUAGUCCCUGUCUCUUAUAC